AGAGUUUGAUCCUGGCUCAGGACAAACGCUGGCGGCGUGCGUAACACAUGCAAGUCGAGCGGGCGCGGUCUUCGGAGCGCGUCAGCGGCGGACGGGUGAGUAACACGUGAGUCACCAACCCUCCAGUGGGGGAUACCCGGCGGAAACGCUGGUUAAUCCCGCAUACGCUCCCUUCGCGGGAGGAAAGCGGCAACGCGCUG
rnacentral:rRNA from 1 species